ACCUGAGCCAGUGGCUCCUACCACCAGUGGACAACAAAUCUGUCAUCUCUGACCUGAGAGGGGGUUUGUCAGCUGUCCCUCUAAAAGGGCUGGAAUGGAACCAUUGUGGAAGUCGACAGCUUGCUGAAGAGUAUCUGAGGGCCAUGUGGGAGCUACAAAGCCUCACCAUAACCUUGUUUGCGCAUUUCUCACUACUUAAGCUGUGGAAUGUCCGACUUGAUCCUAGGGCUCACUUGUUACCCUUGGUAAAAUUUUGGCUGGUACAUCUGCUAGAUCAGAUGCUGAAUUGAGACCUGCCAGGAAUCAGGUUAAGCUAAAAGCUUUCCUUGUAUCUCAGUGGUGUUGGGAUUCUGAUCCUGCCUAAAUACUAAAUAUGACUAAUACGAAGAUAGGUACAAAAAUUACUUUGCAGCCUGAACUUUAAGUCAGGCAGGAUAUUUUUAUUUGUUCCAUAUCAAGAUAAAUUCAUGCCAGUGAACUUCCAAGCAAUUUUUAGCACAGCUGAAGCUUUGCCUAAGCUCACUCAGAAGUCACCUGCAACAGCAUACCAUGCACCACAAGGUGUGGAAGACAACUUGCAGCCAAGAGAAGAGCCACAGAACAUUUUCUGCAACAAAAUGGCAUCAUAAUAAUGUUUGAACAAGGAUACUUUAUUUUAGAAACUCUAAUGUUAGUCCAGGCCAGGGGAACCAAAGAUGUAGCACGAUAAAUAAAAUAAUAAAAUAACCAGAGAAUGUUCUCUGUCCCUAUCUCAGUCUGUACAGCAUUUUUACGUGCAAACAAAUUAUUACUAACAACACUUCUGAAGUCCUUUAACUGUCUUGGUAAUACCACUUGAGGAAUUAGAUACUAUUGUGACUUUUUUUAGCCUGGAACUGUGAAAUACGAAGAAUAAAGCAGAGCAAGGAUUAUCACAGGAAGCAGAUAGAAAGGAAGGAAUUCUCAGAGAUGAUCUGUCCUGCAUAGUGCCAAGCAGACACUGCAGCACAGACACUUUUCCCAAUAAAGCCUGUGCAGAGAUGCUAUGCCUUGUCAGCACUCUCUCCAGGUACUCUGCAGUUGUAACAAAUACAAAAUUUCCUGUUUAAAACCAAUACUCAUUUAAAGCCACUAUUCUUUUUAACAGUUACUUGUCGACACAGAAGGUAAAUUUGUUUCUGUUUUGUGUUUUUUUUUUUUAAAAAAAGAACCAUUUUUAUGUUUGAUGGGCUGUGGUGUGCUCCCCUUCAUCUAAUCUUUACUGAUGUAAGAAGUGUGCCUUUACUGACAGCUGUGUUUUCCAGAUCUCUCCUCCUUGCAGUGCUCUCCUUUGGUCAGUUUUCUGUGAGCAGCAGUAUAUGUAACGCUCACUGGAGACUCGCUGGGGCCAGUGGCCGCCACAAACAUGACAGGUUCUCAGCUCACCUUCAUCACAGUCUUCUUUUUAUGGCAAGUUCUAAUGUACAUGUUCGAGAGAGUGGAGUGUCUCAAUUCCCGCAGUGCCAGCAGUGGUCUACUGCAAAACAAAGGCUGCACAUGAAAAUAGCAGAGAGAAGGUGAAAUAAAAAUUGUCCUCAUUUAUAUAUCCACAACGGAGACGCAUUUACAAAAAUUAUGGUAUAAAGUUAGAUGUACCUGCAUUCCAGAUCCAAGAAUGGGCCCAACUGUUAAAAUGGAUAGUAUGACAAUGUCAUCUGAUUUUAGCAAAAAGUAGAGAAUGCUUAUUUGUUUUGAAGAGAGCUUUGAAAAAAACCUGCGUGGUUCUUUCCCUCACAGAUCACAGGAGAUAGCUAAGGUACAAACGAAUUCAGAAAGCAUUUCAUAUCCAAUAGGUCAUCAAAUAGGUACUCUUUGUACCCUAUAAUAUUUCAGUAAUGCUGCUUUAUAGCACAAUAAUUGGAUUCCCUAAUGUUUCUUACAUUAAGCAACGUUAACAGAAAAUGUUAACUUAUUUGCUUGUUAAAAAGCCUCUUCCACUGGAAAGCCUGUAUAUUUUCAUAGAAAUAAAAGCUGGUGAGAACAAGGAAUUUCUGAAGUCAGGGGAGUUGAUUUUAAAUUUGAUAGAAAUCUGAAAGUUCCUCCAGAGCGAGAAAGAAAAACGUUGUUUUCCUGGUUUCAAAGCUAAAAAUAAAAGGUACGUGUCCGAACGAGCUGCUUGGAUAUUUUAGCCAUGCCUGUGGAGUUAACCCACCGUGCCUGCCCCGACAGAUCUAGGAGAUUGUCUCCGAGAGCCUGCAGCCCUGGGACGGGGCGUCAUGCCCUGAGCUGGGGUGCCCCGUGCCCUGCCGCCCGUGGGCACGGCCCGCAGCCAGCCAGAGGCUGACGUCGGGCUCGGAGGCCAAGCGUUAGCGGCAGCAGCUUGCGCAGACACCGGCUGCUUCACGCAGAGCGAAAGCCAUGGAUGAUGACCGAAGAAAUUUUAGCUUACAAAGACACGGGGUCUGUCAAGCGUCACUGUUGUGGACUUCUCUCUACCUCGCUCGGCAGAACACUCCCACUGGCUGCAGCCUUUGUCCUGGAGUUUUUGGCGAUGACCAGCUUUGUGGGCGUUUGUUUCCAGCACUGGCUCACCAGGUGGAAACGCAGCGCGGGCUUCAGUGACGGCCUGACCCCGGUGCCAGCAGCUCUCCGCCGGGGUUGCCGUGGAGACAAAGCUUCCUGUGCGUAAUCCAAGCUUAUCCAGCUCCUUAUCCUACAUGUGACCCUUAAUUACUUGCUAAAUUAGAAUGGUUUUCUGAAAAUCACAAGGGGAGGUUAAUAUGUUCUUCCAGAGCUGGUCAAGCUAAGAUGACACCAAAUUCACAGGGAAUUCAAAUUACAUGAUCCCUGAAGGCGUCUCUUUGAGAAGGACGAUGAACUUUCCCAAUGGGAGGCAGUGUGCCAUGAUAAUGCUUCUGUCGCUCACUUUCCUUGCCCUGCUUGUCUAGCUACAGCUUAAUCCGGUAGGAACAAUGUAGUAAGUAAAUAUCAGGUUGAUUAAUUAUGGUGCAAGAUUCAGUAACCGCUUGUCUUCUAUAAUUAACAUUGUAAUUGAAAUUAAGUAAUACGCUUCAUACAUGGAUUCCUGGACUUGGAGGAGGAACAAGGGAGAAUCCUCAAGGCUGCAACAGGGAAAUUAAGGAAUUAAUAACAGGGGGUCAAAAUACUAAUUGUCUCUUCAAAGCUACGGUACACUUUAAGAUACUCUUCAUGCAAAAAGAAAAAUGAUUUUACUACUUCUAGAUGUCCUAGUAGAGACAAAACAGAGUUAUCAGUAAAAAUAUUGCUAAAGAUUUGAUAAAUGGAAAUUAUAAGAAGAGGUGCACAGUGGUUUUCCUUUCCUUGGUUUCCUGUGACAUGCUACUUAACAAGGAGUGAGCCUUUCACUUGCAUGAGAAGCUUUAUAAAGCUGUGCUAAAAAUGCUGUGGCAUGGUUUCAAAAAAAAGCACAGUCUGUAUCAGCAUAUGCCUGUCUAUUGUGAAAGGUACGGUAGUUCGGGUCUGUGUACAUAUGCUUGCUCGCAAGGAUACACAUAAAAAUCAGUGACUAAUCAUUAAGAUGGGAAGAGCCUAGGCAGGUAAGUGCUGCCUAUAGUCUGCAGUAUUGCAGACUUCUCUUUGUUUAAGACGUACUUGUAUCUUACACUUCAGUUACGGAUACGAUCACUUCCAUUCCUGCUCAGAAUUCCUAAGUACAAGACAACAUACCUCAGAAGUUUGUCACUAUCAUGAUAAGCAAUGGUUCCCCCAGCACUUUUUAGAAAGGCUUCACUGUGGCCUAAUUUUUUUUCCAUUUUCUUUCCCCUGUCUCCUAGGAAUGUGGUCUCUUUGGCAUAUCCAAGGGCUCACAGCAUUGCAGGCUGAAGGACAAGUUCAUGGGCGCUGUAUAGUCACAGGGUCUUAGACUUCCCUGCUGAGACCUCUGAAAAAUGUGAUGGCAUUUUUCUGAGAAUAAUGACAGAGAAACCUAUGCCAUCUAUUGCUUGGCAGGAUCCAAGACAGUUUUUUGGUUCAUUACGUAUAUAAGGAAUUUAUGAUCCUGUCGAUGGAUCUUUGUACAAAGAAGUGUCUUACGAAGAUGCAUUUCUAGAUGUGUGAGAGAUUACUGAGCACUAUAUAUUCACACUUUCUUUGGCAUCUCUGCUCAUACUUCCAGCAAUAUGAUCAUGUUUUUCUGAGUGAGCAUCAACCCACUGGUAACUGGACUGAUGAUGGCAAGUAUUUUCUCAAAUGAAAAGGCUGUCAGUCCCUGCUAAUUCAAGAAGGUUUCAGUCCAAUGAACCAUUUUCUGCUCUCUCUUUGCUGAACCAUCACUUCCCUGUUACUGUAUUUGAAUUAAAAUGUCAUUUUCAGGACAGAAAUGAAGAAAUUUCUUACAAUUAAGAAACAUUUUCUGUUUCCUUAAUAGGAAAAAAACAAAAAACAGUGAGCUCAAUAGUGAGCUCAUGUAGUUAAAACAGCUCGAAGGGAUAGUUCUCUUUCUCAACUGCUAAUUUGUGUAAUUUGGAAGUCUCUGGGUGUUUUCCUGUGUGUCAGGGUGGACUGCAGGGAAGCUUUCUGUGCCUGGAAAGAUGACCUUUAAAGGAGUGGGUUUCCAUUUUCAGAUGAGGUGUGAUGAGGAGUCCUCCAUGCACAAUUAUUAAGACAGCCUAGUACCCACGAUAAAAUCUUUGAAUGCCAUCCAAAUUACUGAAAGCCACCUAGUUAUUUAUGUGAGCGCACACACAAAUAUGCACGCACCCUUUCCACCUCCAGUAGAGUAUUAGACUUCACACAUUACAUCUGCACUGAAAGACUCCUUAAUAACAGGAUCUGGUGAGCCCUACGACAUUUGAGGGUGGAAGGAAGCUUUCCAAGCACUUCUUCCAAAAGUUUCGAUUUUCACAGAAUUAGAAAGCAUUUUAAGAUGCUUUCUUAAGCACUUGGAAUAUGGAUAUAUAUAUAUGGAUAUAUGGAAUUUGGAAUUGGAUAUAUAUUUUUUACAUACACACUUUAAAAAAGAAAGCAUUUUAAGAUGAUUUCUUAAGAAAUCCACCCUUCUUUUAGUUUCUGCAUUCAAAGUAUAGGGAGUUACCAGGAUGGAAAAAAGGAUUACUGAUAUUCAGUAACCUGCCCCUCCUCUCCUGUCCCCCUUAAAACACCAGGAAUAAGGAAGGGAACUUCCUGGUUCUACUGCCCGCUUUGGAGAAGGAUUUGUUCAGAAACAUGGGCCAGAUCUUCACAUUCAUUACAGGAAUCUCAUGGCUACCAUAAGAAAACAGACACACACACAAACCAGCAAAUUAGAAGGGUUGAAGAGACAGAGAGAAACGGAGACCACAGGGUCUGGUGGCCAGAGGUGGGUGUGGUGCCCAGAGAUAGGUCUGACACAGAUUCCCCUGGGGACAAAGGAAUUACCUUUCUCUGUCAGUCUAGUGGAAACACACAGAGGGACCUGCAAAAUGUCGUGUCCUCUACUAUCCCUUUGUGUAGGUUAAAGGAGUGGAAGAAUAGAAAGGGCAAAUAUGCUGUCAUCUAAAAUAAUCUUUUUAAGUGCGAGGCUACUAGGCUGCGACAAGCUGUGAUUGGUUCCUCUCAGAGCAAAACCAACAGGGGAAUGAAGGUAUCUGAAUAAGAGAUCACUUCUAAAAAUGCUGAUUCUGUUGUACCAUUAGAUUGACAUCUCUACUAUGAAUGAAGAUAAUCAAUAUGAAAAAAAACAAAACAACAACAAAAAAAACAGACAUCCUAAACACUUGAGAUUGUGUCCAGCUGCUCUUGAGCUAUUUCAUCUCCACCCCUGGUUUAUUCCAUUGGUUUAUAUCCUUUUGACCUCUGUCUUGAAACUUGAAAAGAAAACAGUUGUACAAUAAUGCCUUAUAGUCUGUGGCAUAUUCCAUUUCAGGUAAAAGAUACGUAAGUACAGUUCAGCCUGGGUUCAGUUCAGCCUGGAAAAGCUUUUCAAUUCCCCGUGACAAAACAGCAAAAUAGUUCAGAAAAGAAGAAUAACAAAGCAAACAGAGUGCUUGAGGGAUCUAACGAGGGAGGCAGCAAGAUCCUUUACUUACCCCAGUCUGGCAAUUAACUCACGUACAAACAGUUUUACGGGUUUCAUGGUGACCAACAGACUGUAGCAGUGUGGUCUCCUGGAGUGCAGGGUAUGGCAGGUAAGCUCUGGGGAAUUUGGCUGUGGUGCUUCAACCCACAGGCUUGUCACAGCGUUUCUCCAGCUCUUCCGGGAUCACCACUGCCUCAGCGGGGAAUGGCAAGGGCUGUGUGCUGGCACAUCAGCUGUUCCUGUUCUUAGCCCAGCAUAUAAUUUCAAAUGUGGCUUUAUCAGCAGUUUCCACAAAGAAAUUUAUCUGAGGCUUGAGUACACCCUGCUUCUGGUCACCUCCUCUAGCACCCUUUUAACAUCUUCACCAGAGCGAUCUUGCUCAGCAGGCUGGGGCAUUUACUUUGUUUCAAGGGUGAUGAUGGAAUAUUUCUGUUUUCUGAAACACGCAGCUAGGAUUCACUGUUGUUUUCAGUUCAAGUCAACAGCAAAAAUUCCACUGAUUUUAGUGGAAGCAUCAUCUGAUCCAUGGUAAUUUGUUAUGUUGCUGCUGAGUAUUGGUGUUGGAAAGAUUCUGGGAGCUUUCCAUCCAAAAGCAAGUAGGUUAAUCCUGCAAUUAAUUUUAAGAACUACAUUUUGCCAGCUUUUAGUCAGAACUCUUUUCCUCUGAUCUUUAAGGAAUCAGCUAGCGAUCUAACAUGCAUAAGGAAGGAUGUGCAAGCCACAAACUGCAAGAGCACUAUCCUGGUUUAUCUAGGAAUAGAAUGUAAAUUGUUAUUAUUUACAUGGUAGAGAGGAAAAAUCAUCUCCCCUGAGCUGCUAGUGACACUCUUCCUAAUGCAGCCCACGCUGCUGUUGGACUUUUUUGCUGUGAGGGUGCUAUUGCUGUUCUAUGUCAAACUUGUCCACCAGGACCCCAAAGUCCUCCUCUGCAGGGCUGCUUUCCACCAGGUCGCUCCACAGCCUCUCCUGGUACAUGGGGCUGUUCCACCCCAGGUGAAGGACUUUGCAUUUCAAUUUGUUGAACUUUAUGAGAUACCAGCAGGCCCAUUUCAGCAGCCUGCUCAGGUCCCGUGGGAAACAGACCCACUGUCACAACUCAGGCCUAGGAAAGAGAUAGGCUUGGUUUCUUCCUUCUUCUAGGUGGAAUAGCACUAAGAAUGUUAAAGCAAGUGCGUGGGGGGGGUAAGUAGUGAAACGGUGGUUGUUCACGAUACUCCAUAUUCUGAACACAGCCUUAGCUGUGCAAAGCUGUGUUGCCUCUUUGACUGUGUAAUGCCUAGGGGUUUGUUUCUGUUCUUGGACUGGAUAGACGAAAACUUCAAAUCAGGAGAAAAGCCUGAAAAGGCCACGAGAAUAAUGUUUAUAGAAAAAUGCAGUCUGUGAUCUUCCUUUUCCACAAAACUGCAAAUCUUUGGAGGAAUCAUGUUCUGCCUUUGCACAGCCACGCAUAAAAAGCUUGUUGAGAUCCCUGGUCUAUCAUUUCCAGUCAUUACCGUAGGCACUGACAGAGAAUAAGUGAAAUGUGCAUGCUUUCUUUACAAAGUCUUCAAAUAUGUUCACCUCCAAAUUAAAAUUCCCUUUUGGAAAGGUGGUAUGUGACUAAAACAUUGCUGUUGGAGUGUCCUUGGCUGCUCUGAAGUGAGCUGAGUGCUCAUCUAAUGGGUAAAACAAAUUCUUUUUCUGCUUCAACAAAUGCAGAUGAUGUUGAGAAGUAUACUCCUGACCACAGCUUGAGACUGAAACAAGCAGGAAACUCUGCGGAGGAAGAAAUAGGUGAUGCUGCUGAAGGAUGGCGAGACAAAGAGGGGGAUCAGCUAUCAAGCCAUUCGAUGUGAGAUUCGACAUUUAAAUGAAGGCAUGCGAUAGAGAUGUCUACUGCAGACCUAGCUUGCGCUAUUACUGAUAGGAAGAAAACAGGACUCCUAAGGUACACGUUGAUGUCUUUUAGGCAUCCACUUAAAAUGAGAUUACCCUUGCUCCGAAGUGCUCGCUUCUCUAUGCUGGUUAUACAAGGAGCCCAGAACGGCCAUAACAGAUGUAAAUGCCUAUCCUGUAGAUGCAGAUGUCUAAAAAGUGAGGUUAAUCUGCUAUGUAACCACAGACAAGCCAAUAACUAGCUACUUUAGGCUACCUUAUGACCACAUUCCAAAAUUUUUCCUACUUUAAUGACAGGCCGUACUCCUGUGCUGGGCGGGUGCCGCAGCCCUGGCCCAGGCUGCCCAGAGAGGGGCUGGGGGCUGCUCGGGGAGGUCUCCAGCAGCCGCCUGCACGUGGGACUGGGCACCCUGCUCGGGGGGCCCUGCUGGGCUGGGGGGGGGCCCAGGGGCACCUGGGACUCCCUGCCCUCCCUGACCAGUCUGUGAGUCUGAUAAAUAUGAUGGCAUCACAUCCUCAACUAAGCUACACUGGCCAACCUUCCCAUGUGUGUGUGCAAUUUUAAUGUGCAAAAAAACCCCUCAUGCAACAUUUACUGAUAAUUUAUGCUGCUGAAGAAGACGACUUACAUGCAAUAAUGAGGGAGUCCUUUGUGCUGGUGUAAAUUGUGCACAGUACUGUGCAUUCUAUGGAAAAACUUGGAGGGCAACACCUUUGCAGACUUGGUACAAUGAUAAAUACGUUCAUGUAAACAGAACAUUAUACAAAGUGCAACGUAUGCUUGCAGAACUAGAUAUCUUUAACAGAGAUUUUCUGAGAUAGAAGUUAUGAGUGAGGCUGCAGUAAUCUUGACAGUAGUCAUCACAACUAAAGUGGACUUGAAGGAAGAUUUUUCUUGCAGUUUGCUCUGCUGGGGCCUUCCCAGAAUAGCAAUGUUGCUACCCACAUGUUCAGAUGAAACGGUCAAACUUCCAUGGCAUUAAUCAAAUCUUUCUGGCAUGGCAGGGCUGAGAGUUUCACAGUAUAAAUGCAAAGUACACAAAGGGAAGGUAUGAUGAUAAAUGGUUAUUCACUACUCCUUUAAAUAAAAUAUUUUGAAGUUUGAUAUCCCUAGAGUUUGUCACUUAGCCAAUGAAUAUGUAAAAUAAGUAUUUAUAUAUGUAAUCUCUAAGCUCAUUUGUGUCUACACAUGUUCAUACAGUUUGAUUACUUCAUUUUCUUCUUCAACCGAGGGAAAUGAGUGGCUGAAGUGAGAGUUAUUGCAAUGUAGAGGAGUUUUCAGUACAGAGCGACUGUACAAGCUAAGUGGAGUUUUGACAGUAUGGCAAUCAAGAAUUAAACAUAUGGUGACCUGGGAAAUCCUGUUCCCUGACUACGGACUGCUGUGAAAUAGUCUGGAGUUUCACAUGCUGUGUGACAAUUAUGAAACAACUCUGAAUUAUUGUAUAAAACAAAGGGACACAAUCGGUCAAAUGACAGAUGAAUUGACAGCAAGAAUGAUGUAUGCAAGAGUAACUGCAUAACAUUCCAUUUUACCUACUAAUACGCUGAAACAAUUUUAUAUAAUGUCAUGAAGUUUUGCAGUACAGUGUCUGUUCUGCAAAUCACGUAUUGUUCUGUGCUUGUGCCUCUAAGUGGUAGAAUUUCAGACAUGCUUAUGUACGUGGGUAGGUAAGAAAUUUGUUUCAAGGCUAGUGCUUUUGGUUUUUAUUCUUUCAGCAUGGUUCAAUUAUUUUUUGGCAUGAUAAAUUCCAAGAUUACUGCCAAAUGUAUGAUGUAGACAGGACAGGGCUUCAUGCUGUUCUAUUCAGGUCUCUGACGCAUAUGCCAUUUUAUCCUCCCAAAGUAAUUGCAGCAUAUCGUAUUGCCAGUGUGUUCUACAUUUCUAUUAGGAAAGUCACUUUCUAGAUCUUUACAGAAGAGAGAAACAGAUAAGUUUCCAGUCUAGUUAGCUGCCAGGAAGAAACUCCCGAUUCCCUGAAUAUCCCCCACAGCUGUACUUCAAAACCCCCCACCAAAAUAUAUUCUUAUUUAGAGAUAUUUUAGAAUAUAGUUGGAUACUACACAAAAACAAAAAUCGAGUGCUUCUUCCUCUGUAUUGACAAUUAACUUAUCAAGAACACAAAAUAUGCUUCUUUAAGUUCUUCUAAAAUUCAUCUCAGAGAUAUUUUGCUGGCAUACAACCUGAUCAGUGUAUUUGCUUUGUGUAACUGAGGAAGCUCACAUACCUUUCCCAGUUAACGUGUCAGGUUUUACUUUAUCUAUGCUGAAGUACAUAUGCUAUCAAAAACCAAAAACAACAAACAAACA